rnacentral:rRNA from 1 species
AUUGAACGCUGGCGGCAGGCCUAACACAUGCAAGUCGAGCGGAUGAAGGGAGCUUGCUCCUGGAUUCAGCGGCGGACGGGUGAGUAAUGCCUAGGAAUCUGCCUGGUAGUGGGGGACAACGUUUCGAAAGGAACGCUAAUACCGCAUACGUCCUACGGGAGAAAGCAGGGGACCCUCGGGCCUUGCGCUAUCAGAUGAGCCUAGGUCGGAUUAGCUAGUUGGUGAGGUAAUGGCUCACCAAGGCGACGAUCCGUAACUGGUCUGAGAGGACGAUCAGUCACACUGGAACUGAGACACGGUCCAGGCUCCUACGGGAGGCAGCAGUGGGGAAUAUUGGACAAUGGGCGAAAGCCUGAUCCAGCCAUGCCGCGUGUGUGAAGAAGGUCUUCGGAUUGUAAAGCACUUUAAGUUGGGAGGAAGGGUUGUAGAUUAAUACUCUGCAAUUUUGACGUUACCGACAGAAUAAGCACCGGCUAACUCUGUGCCAGCCGCCGCGGUAAGAC